rnacentral:rRNA from 1 species
UUACGCUGUUAUCCCUAAGGUAAUUAUUUUUUAAUUUCUAAAAAAAGAUUAACGGUUCAUAAAUUUAUGUCACUAAAUAAAUAAAAAGUUUAUUAAAUUUUUAAAUUUCCCCAAUUAAAUAUUAAAUUUAAUUAAUAUUGAAAUAUUUAUUUAUUAUUAAAUAAAAUAAUAUUAAAUUCUAUGGGGUCUUCUCGUCUUUUAAAAAUAUUUAAGAUUUUUAACUUAAAAAUUAAAUUUAAUGGUAGUUAAAUUAAGACAGUAAAUAUUUCAUUCAAUCAUUCAUUCUAGAUUUUAAUUAAAAAUCUAAUUAUUAUGCUCUCUUUGUACAGUUAUUGAUACUGCAGCUAUUUAAAUUAAUCAUUGGGCAGAUUAGACUUUAAAUUAAUAUCGAAAAGACAUGUUUUUGUUAAACAGGCG